GGGUGGAUAGCCAAGUCUGGUCAAAGGCGCCUGACUGUAAAUCAGGUCUUUCGAGUUCGGGGGUUCGAAUCCCUCUCCGCCCA
rnacentral:tRNA from 1 species